CGACGCCCAGCUCCGCGGGCAUGCCGAGAGGUGACACCCCCCGCCACACCACGGCUCAGCCAGAGCUUUCUGAUCCUCCCCUUCGUCGGUCCUUGGGAAGACCCUGCGCAGCUGUGCUGCAGAAAUCGCAACUCCUCUUGCCAUUUUCAAUGCUCUGAGGCUGCUGCAAACCGUGCAGCACAGGCCAGCCCACUGCAAUGCACAGCCAGUGCUCUCGGCUCCUUGUGACACGGGUGUUCCUGCUCAUCCAGGGCAGAGAAUGUCUUUUCGAAGGUCACUAGCCCACGCAUCAGUUCAGCGGUCCACAGGAAGGAAGUUAAUAACACUUCUGUGGUCCCUAGCAGCUAAGUGUCCUUACGCCAGCUUAUACCAGCAAAUUUGGUAUGAAAUUUGAUAUAAUAGGAGGCCUCAGCGAAAGGACCGUGGAGUGAAAAAAAAGAUUCAAGAAAUCAUAGAAUGUCCUGAGUUGGAAGGGACCCAUAAGGAUCAUCGAGUCAAACUCCUGGCUCCACACAGGACCAGCCGAAUCAGAGCUCGUGACUGAGAGUGUUAUCCAGACGCUUCUUGAACUCAGUCAAGCUUGGUGCUGUGACCACUUCCCUGGUUAUUAGAAGACUAAUAACAUGCUGGAAAGAUCGCAGCAUUUCAGCAUUAACUGAAGCUGGGAAAAAAAGCUACAGUCUUCCUAUUGUUUUCAAGAUUUAAAGUCAUGUCUUAAAUGACUGCUUUGCUUUUUUAUAAGGAAAUAAAUGCAUAAACUGUUUAAAGA